rnacentral:rRNA from 1 species
AGAGUUUGAUCCUGGCUCAGGAUGAACGCUGGCGGCGUGCCUAAUACAUGCAAGUCGAGCGAACGGACGAGAAGCUUGCUUCUCUGAUGUUAGCGGCGGACGGGUGAGUAACACGUGGAUAACCUACCUAUAAGACUGGGAUAACUUCGGGAAACCGGAGCUAAUACCGGAUAAUAUUUUGAACCGCAUGGUUCAAAAGUAAAAGACGGUCUUGCUGUCACUUAUAGAUGGAUCCGCGCUGCAUUAGCUAGUUGGUAAGGUAACGGCUUACCAAGGCAACGAUGCAUAGCCGACCUGAGAGGGUGAUCGGCCACACUGGAACUGAGACACGGUCCAGACUCCUACGGGAGGCAGCAGUAGGGAAUCUUCCGCAAUGGGCGAAAGCCUGACGGAGCAACGCCGCGUGAGUGAUGAAGGUCUUCGGAUCGUAAAACUCUGUUAUUAGGGAAGAACAUAUGUGUAAGUAACUGUGCACAUCUUGACGGUACCUAAUCAGAAAGCCACGGCUAACUACGUGCCAGCAGCCGCGGUAAUACGUAGGUGGCAAGCGUUAUCCGGAAUUAUUGGGCGUAAAGCGCGCGUAGGCGGUUUUUUAAGUCUGAUGUGAAAGCCCACGGCUCAACCGUGGAGGGUCAUUGGAAACUGGAAAACUUGAGUGCAGAAGAGGAAAGUGGAAUUCCAUGUGUAGCGGUGAAAUGCGCAGAGAUAUGGAGGAACACCAGUGGCGAAGGCGACUUUCUGGUCUGUAACUGACGCUGAUGUGCGAAAGCGUGGGGAUCAAACAGGAUUAGAUACCCUGGUAGUCCACGCCGUAAACGAUGAGUGCUAAGUGUUAGGGGGUUUCCGCCCCUUAGUGCUGCAGCUAACGCAUUAAGCACUCCGCCUGGGGAGUACGACCGCAAGGUUGAAACUCAAAGGAAUUGACGGGGACCCGCACAAGCGGUGGAGCAUGUGGUUUAAUUCGAAGCAACGCGAAGAACCUUACCAAAUCUUGACAUCCUUUGACAACUCUAGAGAUAGAGCUUUCCCCUUCGGGGGACAAAGUGACAGGUGGUGCAUGGUUGUCGUCAGCUCGUGUCGUGAGAUGUUGGGUUAAGUCCCGCAACGAGCGCAACCCUUAAGCUUAGUUGCCAUCAUUAAGUUGGGCACUCUAAGUUGACUGCCGGUGACAAACCGGAGGAAGGUGGGGAUGACGUCAAAUCAUCAUGCCCCUUAUGAUUUGGGCUACACACGUGCUACAAUGGACAAUACAAAGGGCAGCGAAACCGUGAGGUCAAGCAAAUCCCAUAAAGUUGUUCUCAGUUCGGAUUGUAGUCUGCAACUCGACUACAUGAAGCUG